AAGCCAGGAGAGGCCAAAGGAGCGGCGUCGCGUAAGGAAAUUGUGAAUGGACUGGGAGCGCAUUGUCUGGCUGUCCUGAGUGCGCUACUGUCGGCGCUCAGCAGAGGCUGCUGUUCUCCCACUGACAAAACUGGUGAACCCCUUUUCUGCUCAGACCUCCCGAAACCUGCAAUGACACCAAUUAGACUGCCUUCCAUUUAGGGGCGCAGUGACUCUGGUCUUCCUGUGGGGCCAGAUUGGCCAAGUUAUCAAUUGAGACAGAAAUCCCUCUGGAUUCAUUCAUCCUGCCCUGCCUUCUUGCUCAUGGCCAGUGCCCUCAAACCUGGAUUAACAAGUGGUGCCUACUAAUCACCCCGCCCCUUUCCAACGGACCACAGCUCAUUCCAAAAUGCAACAAAAUACAAUUUUGACAAGCAUAUAACGGACACUCAACGUACAGUUUUGUAGCUGCAGUUUUAAAGCUGCUUCUGUUCUGGAGUUAAUGCACUGUGAAUGGAACCAUCACAGGAUCGGAAGUGGUUCAGACAGUGACAGAAUUCAGCUGGAAUGGACUCUGACAUUUCUCCACACUGCUUUCUAUAUACACUUCAAAAGGAUAGAUGCAGGAAACAGAAAGCAAUUUUGCAAAGCACAUUUCACUUUACUGGAACAUACAAGGAGUUAUACAUUCUGUAUUCACCUUUCUGGGAAGUGAUAUUCAUCAUGGACGACAACCACCCAACAUUAAGACAGAAUUAGCAAAAGCCAAGGCCAUCCAUGAUUUACUGCUAUAAAACUGUGAUACAAAUCAAAGACUGUUAGUCAUUUGCCUUUGUUAGCUCUGUGUGCUCUGUAUUUGUAAUAUGUAAAACAAACGCAUAUGUACACGUGCUGGUUGCUGCUAUUCCCUUGACAUAUGGGUGGAGGACAAUACAAAGGCAUUCGCGCAGAUGCAAACACAGACACAUGCAGCACAUACACAUGCCUUUGGAUGGAUUUCUCCUUCCCAGAGUGCACUCUUGAUUUAUGGGAAAGGGCAAAAUGUUGUUAGGGGAAGGUUGUGGUUCCAGUAUUUGUUCUGUGUUAUUUUUGUGCUGUCUUAAACAUGACCCAUGUAAAGAGAGUCUGAGUUGUAUUGUCUUGAUUGUCUUAUUUUAUUUGUAUGUUUGUUUGUUUUUGAGAGAGCGAGAGAGAGAGAGAGAGAGAGAGAGAAAAGUAGCCAAAUUGUAAAGGAAAUGGUACUCAUUUACAGUUGCAGGGAAAAGAUGUACUUCCCCCUUACUGAUACGCAAUGUUGGCUCAUUUUCCUCAAUAAAUUAAUGAACAAGUUUUACAUUUUUGGUUCAUUUGUUUAA